AACGAACGCUGGCGGCAUGCCUAACACAUGCAAGUCGAACGAGACCUUCGGGUCUAGUGGCGCACGGGUGCGUAACGCGUGGGAACCUGCCCUUAGGUUCGGAAUAACUCCCCGAAAGGGGUGCUAAUACCGGAUAAUGUCUUCGGACCAAAGAUUUAUCGCCUUUGGAUGGGCCCGCGUUGGAUUAGCUAGUUGGUAGGGUAAAAGCCUACCAAGGCGACGAUCCAUAGCUGGUCUGAGAGGAUGAUCAGCCACACUGGGACUGAGACACGGCCCAGACUCCUACGGGAGGCAGGAGUGGGGAAUAUUGGACAAUGGGCGAAAGCCUGAUCCAGCAAUGCCGCGUGAGUGAUGAAGGCCUUAGGGUUGUAAAGCUCUUUUACCCGGGAUGAUAAUGACAGUACCGGGAGAAUAAGCGCCGGCUAACUACGUG
rnacentral:rRNA from 1 species